UGCAUUGGGUUGCCCUCUGAGGUUCUCCUCCUGCCCUUGCUGGGGCAUGUUCAGGAGCCAAGAGGUGCCCCAUCUCCUGCCCCGUGGGGCAGCUCCUGGCCCCGAGCUGGGGAAAGCCUGCCCAGGGCUGAGCUCUGCCCCUGAUGGCCUGGCUCCUUCUGUCCCUGCAGUGAAGGUGACCCUGGAUCCUGACACCGCUCAUCCCCAGCUUGUUCUGUUGGAAGACAAUACAAGCAUGCGUUUGGAACACACAUGGCAAGCAGUGCCCAACACCCAGAGAGAUUUGACUGUUGUUGCUGCGUGCUGGGCCGUGAGCAGUUCAGGGGGGGAAAGCACUGCUGGAAGGUGGAGUUGAGAGGCGAGUUGGAAAAAGUUUCAAAUUUGGCUGUGGGGGUGGCCAGGGCAUCAAUGAGGAGGAGGGUGGGAAUCAACAUGAGCCCUGAAGAAGGGAUCUGGGCGCUGCAGUAUGAUGAAGGAGAGCUCAUGUCUCUCACAUUUCCUCCCAUACGCUUCUCUGUGUCCCCUGUUCCAAUGAGGAUGUGGGUCUGUCUGGACUAUCCAGCGCAGCAGGUGUCUUUUAUCAAUGCUGACAAUGGGAAAGAGAUCUGCGUGUUCAAAAGAGCUUCCCUCAAUGGGGAGAGCAUCCACCCCUGGUUCUGGCUGGGGACAAGAAGUGUCCAGCUGUGCCUGAGGGACAGCACCCCCUAGAUCCUGUCCCCAGCCCUGGAGGGCUCCUGCCCUUCUCCAGCCGCUCCUUACUUACCUCUCCUUGAUCCUGCAGGAGCAGCACAGGAAUGAGGGGCACUGGGGCCAGGGUCUGCCCCGUGUUCCUCCCUUCACACUGAGACCUGUGACAGUUGGUGGGGGGCACUCAGAGUUCAGACAGCCAUUUGCUUCAUGUUUGGGAGCCCCAUUUGUGGGCUCCAGUUUUCUGUUCCUAACUCCAUUUAUAAAUUUGGCUUUUUUUGAAAGCAUGAAUUAUUAACAUGGAUUUAAGUGUAAAAGAAUUAGUAAUACUCCUUGUAGUUAAUUACAUCAACUUUUGAACAUGGAAAUGCUGUGUGGGAUUAUUUUAAAUCACUAUGAAGGAAGCUGCCUACUCCAAAAAGAAUGGGAAACUUGACCUGGCAGGGCAAAACAACCCACUGGGAGCUGGAUUUGAGCCAGAUCGUGGCUGUUGCUGGGGGCAGCGAGGAUGCUCUGGUGGUUGGAUGCUUCAGGACCAGGGUGCUCUGGGCUUGGACACUUCAGAUCUGGGAUGCUCCAGGACUGGGAUCCUCCGGGACCUGGAUGCUUUGUGGGUUGGAUGCUUCAGAACUGGGAUGCUCCGGGACCGGGAUCCUCCAGGACGGGGAUCCUCCGGGACCGGGAUACUCCAGGACCGGUUUGCUCCGGGACCAGGAUGCUCCGUGGGUUGGAUGCUCCGGGGGGUGGGGGUCCAAAGGGGGGCAGGAUGCUGCGGGAUCCGGCCCGGGAAGAGGCGGGGGACGCACAGGAAGGGGUUGGGGUUGCAGGAACCGAGAACAAAGCGGAGUCCGGGGAGCUCCGGUGCUCGGAGCCGGCUCCGGUGCUGCCGCCGCUCGUGUGCAGGUAAUCGGCAGGGAGCGGGGGCUACCGGGGAGGGGACGGCUCCCCCCCGGGAUGGGUGCUUCCCCCCACCCCUCUUCCUCCCUGGUCUGGGUACGACCCGUGUGGACCCCCCGGGGGCUGGAUAUGGGCUCCCCGACACCUCUCGGAGAGGAUACGGAUUCACCGCUGACUCCCUCCCGAUGAGCCCGUGACCUUCGAGGAGGUGGCCGUGUUAUUUCACCAAGGAGCAAUGGGUCCUGCUCGACCCUGUGCAGAGGACUCUCUACAUGGAUGUCAUGCUGGAGAACUACGAGACCAUCACCUCGCUGGGUUUUCCUGCUGCUGAGCCAGACUUGCUCACCCAGGAGGGAGGAGAGCACUGGGCCCCAA